rnacentral:rRNA from 1 species
AAAUCCCAAGGCGCUUGAGAGAACUCGGGUGAAGGAACUAGGCAAAAUGGCACCGUAACUUCGGGAGAAGGUGCGCCCUUUGGUGUGGUCACGUGCGUGACUGAGCAUUGAAGGGUCGCAGUAACCUGGCCGCUGCGACUGUUUAUCAAAAACACAGCACUCUGCUAACACGAAAGUGGACGUAUAGGGUGUGACGCCUGCCCGGUGCUGGAAGGUUAAUUGAUGGGGUCAGCCGCAAGGCGAAGCUCUUGAUCGAAGCCCCAGUAAACGGCGGCCGUAACGAUAACGGUCCUAAGGUAGCGAAAUUCCUUGUCGGGUAAGUUCCGACCUGCACGAAUGGCGUAACGACAGCGGCGCUGUCUCCACCCGAGACUCAGUGAAAUUGAAAUCGCUGUGAAGAUGCAGCGUUCCCGCGGCAAGACGGAAAGACCCCGUGAACCUUUACUAUAGCUUUACACUGAACGUUGAGUUCUUCUGUGUAGGAUAGGUGGGAGGCUAUGAAACCAGGACGCUAGUUCUGGUGGAGCCAUCCUUGAAAUACCACCCUGAAGUGCUUGACGUUCUAACCUAGGCCCGUAAUCCGGGUCAGGGACCGUGUAUGGUGGGUAGUUUGACUGGGGCGGUCUCCUCCCAAAGAGUAACGGAGGAGCACGAAGGUACGCUCAGCGCGGUCGGACAUCGCGCACUGUGUGCAAAGGCAUAAGCGUGCUUGACUGCGAGAUCGACGGAUCAAGCAGGUACGAAAGUAGGUCUUAGUGAUCCGGUGGUUCUGUAUGGAAGGGCCAUCGCUCAACGGAUAAAAGGUACUCCGGGGAUAACAGGCUGAUACCGCCCAAGAGUUCAUAUCGACGGCGGUGUUUGGCACCUCGAUGCCGGCUCAUCACAUCCUGGGGCUGUAGCCGGUCCCAAGGGUAUGGCUGUUCGCCAUUUAAAGUGGUACGCGAGCUGGGUUCAGAACGUCGUGAGACAGUUCGGUCCCUAUCUGUCGUGGGCGUUGGAGAUUUGAGGGGGGCUGCUCCUAGUACGAGAGGACCGGAGUGGACGUUCCGCUGGUGUUCGGGUUGUCAUGCCCAUGGCAUUGCCCGGUAGCUACGAACGGAAGUGAUAACCGCUGAAAGCAUCUAAGCGGGAAGCACGCCCCAAGAUGAGUUCUCCCGAGAGCUUGACUCUCCUAAAGGCACCAUCAAGACUAGGUGGUUGAUAGGUCAGGUGUGGAAGCGCAGCAAUGCGUUGAGCUAACUGAUACUAAUGAGCCGUGAGGCUUGACCU